UACGGAGGGUGCAAGCGUUAAUCGGAAUUACUGGGCGUAAAGCGUGCGCAGGCGGUUUGUUAAGUCUGCUGUGAAAUCCCCGAGCUCAACUUGGGAAUUGCAGUGGAUACUGGCAAGCUGGAGUACGGUAGAGGAAGGUGGAAUUCCCGGUGUAGCAGUGAAAUGCGUAGAGAUCGGGAGGAACACCAGUGGCGAAGGCGGCCUUCUGGACCAGUACUGACGCUCAUGCACGAAAGCGUGGGGAGCAAGACGG
rnacentral:rRNA from 1 species